rnacentral:rRNA from 1 species
GACGAACGCUGGCGGCGUGCUUAACACAUGCAAGUCGAACGGAAAGGCCCUGCUUUUGUGGGGUGCUGGAGUGGCGAACGGAUGAGCCUCCCGUGAGUAACGUACCCUCGACUUGAGGCUGCCUUUAGUACACUGGAGCUAAUACCGCAAAGGAGCUAAUGCUCCAUGGUGGGGGUUGGAGAGUUUCGGCGGAUGGGGAUGGGCACGCGGCUUAUAAGCCUGUUGGUGGGGUAGUGGCUUAGCAAGGCUUUGACGGGUAGCCGGCCUGAGAGGGGGACGGGCCACAAUGGUACUGAGGUACGGCCCAGACUCCUACGAGAGGCAGCAGUGGGGAAUAUUGCACAGUGGGCGGAAGCCUGAUGCAGCAACGCCGCGUGCGGGAUGACGGCCGUCGGGGUGUAAUCCGCUGUCGCCUGUGACGAAGCGGGAGUGACGGUAAUGGGUAAAUAAGCACCGGCUAACUACGUG